rnacentral:rRNA from 1 species
GCGUCAAUGAGGGUGAGAAUCCUGUUUGUCAUGUGCAGCCCUUUGUGCACGGUGUAUAUUUGCUGAGUCACACUCCUUGGCAUUGGAAUGCAAAGUGGGUGGUAAGUUUCAUGUAAAGGUAAACAUGCAAUUGAGACUGAUAGCACACAAGUACCAUGAGGGAAAUAUGAAAAGGACUUUGAAAAGAGAAUUAAAUGAGUUUGUAUUUGCUGAACACAAAGUAAACAGACUUGAUUUGCUUGGUGGGAGUGUUGCACUUGCUUGACAAGAGCUUUGGGCUGUGGGUGUAAUGAUUCUUUCUUUGCAUGCCAGUUUCUAUUUGUACAUCUGAUUACCUUUGCACAUGAAUGAUAAGUCUCCUGUGGGGGGUGGAUUGCAUGUGCAUGUAAUGAUUUGUGUUUUGAUAAAUGUGUCUGGUGUAUGUGUGUGUUCCUGUGCUUGGGGAUGCUUCCUUCCUUGGACUUACAAGCCCUGACACACACAUGCUGGCAAAAUGCUUCUGCUUGACCCGUCUUGAAACACGGACCAAGGAGUCUAACAGAUGUGCAAAGUUUGAAGGUGGUAUACCUUUGUGUGCAAUGAAAGUGUCAGCUGGGAUAUGUGCACCAGCACCCAAUUAAUUAGCGGACAGAGGUUUGAGUUGGAGCAUAUCUAUUAGGACCCGAAAGAUGGUGAACUAUGCCUGAACAGAAUGAAUUCAGAGGAAACUCUGAUGGAGGUUCGUAUCGAUACUGACGUGCAAAUCGUUCGUCAUAUUUGGGUAUAGGGGCGAAAGACUAAUCGAACCAUCUAGUAGCUGGUUCCCUCCGAAGUUUCCCUCAGGAUAGCUGGAGUUGCUCAGUUUUAUCAGGUAAAGCGAAUGAUUAGAGGAAUUGGGGACAGGUUUGUCUUUGACCUAUUCUCAAACUUUAAAUGGGUAAUAUGUAGUGGUUGCUGUAUGGAACUUCUAAGAUAAAUGGCAAUAUUGGGUGGGCCAUUUUUGGUAAGCAGAACUGGCGAUGAGGGAUGAACCUAAUGUGGGGCUAAGGGGCUU